rnacentral:rRNA from 1 species
CACGUAGGGGCCAAGCGUUGUCCGGAUUCAUUGGGCGUAAAGAGCUCGUAGGCGGUUCAGUCAGUCGGGUGUGAAAUCUCCGGGCUCAACCCGGAGGGGCCACCCGAUACUGCUGGACUUGAGUUCGGUAGGGGAGUGGGGAAUUCCUGGUGUAGCGGUGAAAUGACGCAGAUAUCAGGAGGAACACCGGUGGCGAAGGCGCCGCUCUGGGCCGAAACUGACGCUGAGACGCGAAAGCGUGGGGAGCAAACAGG